CUUCAACUUCAAAGGGAGGACCUACAGAUGAACAAGAAGUUGCAAUGCCGGAAUCAACAAGUGGCAGCAUAUUGGCUGAGAGCUGGAGUAUUGCUGUGCCAGAAGAGAACAGAAAUGAAACAAGUGACUUAUCAGCAUCUUCUGCUAACGGAUCUGCACCAAGUAGUACGGUUUAAAAGAGGAUACAGGUGAAAGAACAGCCUUACUUGAAACGGAUGGCAGAGAUAAUCGACGUGAAGAACGCCUGUCUAAUGGAAACACUAUAUGAAAGCUUGACAGCUUGAACUGGGAGCAAAAUAUCUAUUUGUUUUGUUUAAAUGCUGUGGACUUGUGUCUAGCUUAAAUGUGUUACUUUUCUAAUUCAUGUUUCAAAAGGGCUAAUAACUCGAGGCUUUGCUAUGUAAGAAGAGUAAUACCGGAUACAAAAUGCAGUAACUCUCGUAUGAGUUCCUUCUUUGACCAAAAAUGAGAGUUGGGAAAUGAGACAAAUUUAUGAGCUUGGGAGGGUUGGUGAGAACC